UACGUAGGGGGCAAGCGUUGUCCGGAUUUAUUGGGCGUAAAGAGCGUGUAGGCGGCUUUGCAAGUCCGUUGUGAAAACUCGAGGCUCAACCUCGAGACGCCGGUGGAAACUGCAAAGCUAGAGUCCGGAAGAGGAGAGUGGAAUUCCUGGUGUAGCGGUGAAAUGCGUAGAUAUCGGGAGGAACACCAAUGGCGAAGGCAGCUCACUGGGACGGCACUGACGCUGAGACGCGAAAGCGUGGGGAGCAAACAGG
rnacentral:rRNA from 1 species